GUUGAUCCUGGCUUAGGAUGAACGCUAGCUACAGGCUUAACACAUGCAAGUCGCGGGGCAGCAUAUAGAUAGCUUGCUAUUAUGAUGGCGACCGGCGCACGGGUGAGUAACGCGUAUCCAACCUUCCCCAUAGUAGGGUAUAGCCCGGCGAAAGUCGGAUUAAUCCCCUAUGUUGUUGAAGCGGACAUCUAAUCAAACCAAAGAUUCAUCGCUAUGGGAUGGGGAUGCGUCUGAUUAGGUGCAGGCGGGGUAACGGCCCACCUGGCCGACGAUCAGUAGGGGUUCUGAGAGGAAGGUCCCCCACACUGGUACUGAGACACGGACCAGACUCCUACGGGAGGCAGCAGUGAGGAAUAUUGGUCAAUGGGCGCGAGCCUGAACCAGCCAAGUAGCGUGCCAGGAUGACGGCCCUACGGGUUGUAAACUGCUUUUAUGCGGGGAUAAAGUGCGGCACGUGUGCCGUUUUGCAGGUACCGCAUGAAUAAGGACCGGCUAAUUCCGUGCCAGCCGCUGC
rnacentral:rRNA from 1 species